CCUACGGGAGGCAGCAGUGAGGAAUAUUGGUCAAUGGACGAGAGUCUGAACCAGCCAAGUCGCGUGAAGGAUGACUGCCCUAUGGGUUGUAAACUUCUUUUAUAUGGGAAUAAAAUGUUCCACGUGUGGGAUUUUGUAUGUACCAUAUGAAUAAGCAUCGGCUAACUCCGUGCCAGCAGCCGCGGUAAUACGGAGGAUCCGAGCGUUAUCCGGAUUUAUUGGGUUUAAAGGGAGCGUAGGUGGAUGGUUAAGUCAGGUGUGAAAGUUUGCGGGUCAACCGUAAAAUUGCCGUUGAAACUGGCAGUCUUGAGUACAGGAGAGGUGGGCGGAAUUCGUGGUGUAGCGGUGAAAUGCUUAGAUAUCACGAAGAACUCCGAUUGCGAAGGCAGUUCACUGGACCGCCACUGACGCUGAGGCACGAAAGCGUGGGUAUCAAACAGGAUUAGAUACCCCAGUAGUC
rnacentral:rRNA from 1 species